rnacentral:lncRNA from 1 species
AUGGGCUUCAUCCAGAUGGAGUUGGAGGACGGCUGGGGGCGUGAGACAAGCCAGAGGCAGGGUCCACCGCCAAGUGUACGAGCAGGAGCAGAGACGAGCCAGAGGCGAGGUCAAGGGCCAAGUACAGCAGCAGGGGCCGAGACAAGCCAGAGGCAGGGUCUACAGCCAAGUGUACAAGCAGGAGCAGAGAAGAGCCAGAGGCGAGGUCCACAGCCAAGUGUACGAGCAGGAGCAGAGACGAGCCAGAGGCAGGGUCCACAGCCAAGUGUACAACCAGAAACGACCCAGAGGCAGGCUCAACGCCCAAGUACAGGAGCAGGGGCAGAGACGAGCCAGAGGCAGGGUCAAAGGCCAAGUACAGGAGCAGAGACAGAGACGAGCCAGAGGCGAGGUCCACAGCCAAGUACAGGAGCAGAGACGAGCCAGAGGCAGGGUCAACGGCCAAGUACAGGAGCAGAGGCAGAGACUAGCCAGAGGCGAGGUUCACAGCCCAGUACAAGAGCAGGGGCAAAGAUGAGCCAGAGGCGAGGUUCACAGCCUAGUACAAGAGCAGGGACAGAGACGAGCCAGAAGCAGGGUCAACGGCCAAGUACAAGAGCGGGGGCAGAGACGAGCCAGAGGCAGGGUCCAUGGCCAAGUGCAGGAGCAGGACCAGAGACGAGCCAGAGCCAGGGUCAACGGCCAAGUACAGGAGCAGAGGCAGAGACAAGCCAGAGGCGAGGUUCACAGCAUAGUACAAGAGCAGGGGCAGAGAUGAGCCAGAGGCGAGGUCAACAAUCAAGUACAGGUGCAGAGACGAGCCAGAGGCGAGGUCCAUGGCCAAGUACAGGAGCAGGAGCAGAGACAAGCCAGAGGCAGUGUCUACAGCCAAGUACAGGAGCAGGGGCAGAGAUGAGCCAGAGGCGAGGUUCACAGCAUAGUACAAGAGCAGGGGCAGAGACGAGCCAGAGGCGAGGUCAACAAUCAAGUACAGGAGCAGAGACAAGCCAGAGGCGAGGUCCACGCCCAAGUACAGGAGCAGGAGCAGAGACGAGCCAGAGGCAGGGUCCACAACCAAGUACAGGAGCAGGGGCAGAGACGAGCCAGAGGCGAGGUCCACGGCCAAGUACAGGAGCAGAGACGAGCCAGAGGCGAGGUCCACAGCCAUGUACAGGAGCAGGGGCAGAGAUGAGCCAGAGGCAAGGUCAACAAUCAAGUACAAGAGCAGAGACGAGUCAGAGGCGAGGUCCACGGCCAAGCACAGGAUCAUGGACAAGCCAACUGGAAUCUAGAAUCACUCCCACUCCCCCGGAGGGGAGUCGGAAAGAGGGACAAUACAUGAAUCGUACUGCACGAAACAGAGGCAUGGAGAACCAAAUGUUAUAUAUGUGA